rnacentral:rRNA from 1 species
ACGCACGCUGGCGGCGUGCUUAACACAUGCAAGUCGCACGGAAAGGCCCUGCUUUUGUGGGGUGCUCGAGUGGCGAACGGGUGAGUAACACGUGAGUAACCUGCCCUUGACUUUGGGAUAACUUCAGGAAACUGGGGCUAAUACCGGAUAGGAGCUCCUGCUGCAUGGUGGGGGUUGGAAAGUUUCGGCGGUUGGGGAUGGACUCGCGGCUUAUCAGCUUGUUGGUGGGGUAGUGGCUUACCAAGGCUUUGACGGGUAGCCGGCCUGAGAGGGUGACCGGCCACAUUGGGACUGAGAUACGCCCCAGACUCCUACGGGAGGCAGCAGUGGGGAAUAUUGCACAAUGGGCGGAAGCCUGAUGCAGCAACGCCGCGUGCGGGAUGACGGCCUUCGGGUUGUAAACCGCUUUCGCCUGUGACGAAGCGUGAGUGACGGUAAUGGGUAAAGAAGCACCGGCUAACUACGUG